rnacentral:rRNA from 1 species
AUUGAACGCUGGCGGCAGGCCUAACACAUGCAAGUCGAACGAGUGGCGGACGGGUGAGUAAUGUCUGUGACACUCCCUGAUGGAUGGGGAUACCUACUGGAAACGGUAGCUAAUCCCGCAUACCAUCGGAUGUGCCCAGAUGGCAUUAGCUAGUAGGUGGGGUAAAGGCUCACCUAGGCGACGAGCCCUAGCUGGUCUGAGAGGAUGACCAGCCACACUGGAACUGAGACACGGUCCAGACGCCUACGGGAGGCAGCAGUGGGGAAUAUUGCGCAAUGGGCGCAAGCCUGAUGCAGCAAUGCCGCGUGUAUGAAGAAGGCCUUCGGGUUGUAAAGUACUUUCAGCGGGGAGGCGGUACCCGAAGAAGAAGUACCGGCUAACUCCGUGCCAGCAGCCGCGGUAAUAC